rnacentral:lncRNA from 9 species
GCCCCGGCCUCUCUCGCCAAGGGCUCGUGUACCUUCCUAAUCAGCUCUCCAGGGGACCAGGCCCGGGAGGUGGCUCUCGCCCUGAGAGGGCGAGGCUGCUUGUCGUGGCAGGUGCCUGCAGGACCCAGGGAUCCCCGCUGGAAGGCCCAGGAACACGUGGAGAUCCAGGUAAUGAAAGCCCCGCAGUAAAACAUGUAAUUAGCUACAAACAACGCAUUGUGUGGUGUCACCCUUCAGCAGAUUCUAAAUAAGCCUGGGCUGAGGAAUCACUACCCUAGGCUCUGUGUUUGGCGAAUUUCAACCCCCUGGAGAACUAAGCCGAGUAAUUACCAGGCAGCUGAGAGGCCAGGCCAGCCCCUGCUUGGAUCCUCAGGUCCCCGCUCCAAUUAGUGGGAGCCGCAGCCCUGCCAAGGUUGUGACAGCGAAGCACGCCGGCCGGGACCAGCCUUCACUGUCGGGGGUCCCUUGUGUGUGUGUUCCUGCUCCUCCAGACACCCCAGCCAGUCGGGGGGAAGAACGUUUAUUUAAUGCAGGAAACCCUCAUGGACUCUGGGUGGGCUGGGAAUGCAGGAAACGGCCCGGCGAGCGUCCAAGUUCAUGGUCAUCAAGAGAGCAGGGCCAGGAGGCACCAACGAAACCGGAGCUCGGUCCCAUCGGCGGACAGCGCAGGCCCGACUGCCGUCCUCUCAGCGGUUGAAAGGCGCCCCCCCCAACAUUCAGCUAAAAGUGCAGGGGCAUUUCUCAUCUGCUUGGCAAAAUGAGUUACGAGCUCCAUUGCAAACUUCACUUUCUGCUAAGUUCAUCGGGGAGCACGCCCGUCGCAAGAAGCAGCAGCGGGCGGGGCCGUCGCCGCCCGCCCCACACGGCCGAGGCAUCUUUAUUCAUUUUCGCUCUCUUAUAAAAUUAAUAAAUGUGGCUCCCCUGGGAGCGCUGGGUGUUUGGAGGACGAUGUAAUUUACUCAGGAGGAACCUGUCCUCCUGUUGCUCUGGCCCCACACUGCAAGACGAC